rnacentral:rRNA from 1 species
AACGCUAGCUACAGGCUUAACACAUGCAAGUCGAGGGGCAGCAUAAAAGUAGCAAUACUUUGGUGGCGACCGGCGCACGGGUGAGUAACGCGUAUGCAACCUACCUAUCAGAGGGGAAUAACCCGGCGAAAGUCGGACUAAUACCGCAUAAAACAGGGACACCGCAUGGUGAUAUUUGUUAAAGAAAUUCGCUGAUAGAUGGGCAUGCGUUCCAUUAGGUAGUUGGUGAGGUAACGGCUCACCAAGCCGACGAUGGAUAGGGGAACUGAGAGGUUGGUCCCCCACACUGGUACUGAGACACGGACCAGACUCCUACGGGAGGCAGCAGUGAGGAAUAUUGGUCAAUGGGCGAGAGCCUGAACCAGCCAAGUCGCGUGAAGGAAGAAGGAUCUAUGGUUCGUAAACUUCUUUUGCAGGGGAAUAAAGUGCAGGACGUGUCCUGUUUUGUAUGUACCCUGAGAAUAAGGAUCGGCUAACUCCGUGCCAGCAGCCGCGGUAAUACGGAGGAUCCGAGCGUUAUCCGGAUUUAUUGGGUUUAAAGGGAGCGUAGGCGGACGCUUAAGUCAGUUGUGAAAGUUUGCGGCUCAACCGUAAAAUUGCAGUUGAUACUGGGUGUCUUGAGUACAGUAGAGGUAGGCGGAAUUCGUGGUGUAGCGGUGAAAUGCUUAGAUAUCACGAAGAACUCCGAUUGCGAAGGCAGCUCACUGGAGCGCAACUGACGCUGAAGUUCGAAAGUGCGGGUAUCGAACAGGAUUAGAUACCCUGGUAGUCCGCACGGUAAACGAUGGAUGCCCGCUGUUGGUCUGAAUAGGUCAGCGGCCAAGCGAAAGCAUUAAGCAUCCCACCUGGGGAGUACGCCGGCAACGGUGAAACUCAAAGGAAUUGACGGGGGCCCGCACAAGCGGAGGAACAUGUGGUUUAAUUCGAUGAUACGCGAGGAACCUUACCCGGGCUUGAAUUGCAGAGGAAGGAUUUGGAGACAAUGACGCCCUUCGGGGUCUCUGUGAAGGUGCUGCAUGGUGUCGUCAGCUCGUGCCGUGAGUGUCGGCUUAAGUGC